rnacentral:rRNA from 1 species
CGCAUCUGUGCAUGCAGCAUAUCAAUAAGCGGAGGAAAAGAAACUAACAAGGAUUCCCCUAGUAACGGCGAGUGAAGCGGGAGGAGCUCAAAUUUGAAAUCUUAAAGGGUUUCCCUUUACGAAUUGAAGUUUAAAGAAGUGUUUUCUGUUGAGGUUUUGGUAAAAGUUCUUUGGAAUAGGACAUCAUAGAGGGUGAGAAUCCCGUAUUUGACCUUUACUUUCAACUUUGUGAUACACUUUCAAAGAGUCGGAUUGUUUGGGAAUGCAGUCCAAAAUGGGUGGUAAAUUUCAUCUAAAGCUAAAUAUUGGCGAGAGACCGAUAGCGAACAAGUACCGUGAGGGAAAGAUGAAAAGAACUUUGAAAAGAGAGUUAAACAGUACGUGAAAUUGUCAAAAGGGAAGCGUUUGACACCAGUGUUGUUUUUCUGAAAAUCAAUUAAAGAACUGUUUAUGCUAAGUUGUUUAGACUUUAUCAGCUAACUGUUUAGUUUUAGGCUUUUCUUUAAUGCACUUUUCAGUUAACAAGUCAACAUCAAUUUCUUUUGCUGUAAAAAAGCUUGAGGAAGGUGGCUUGAGAUUCGUCUUAAGUGUUUAUAGCCUCUUGCCUAUGCAGUCGGAGAGAUUGAGGUCUGCAGCGUAGAUCCUUCGGGGCUGAAUGCAUUUGUGCUAAGUUAUAGCAUUUUAUAGACAACUUGUUGACUAUGAUUUGUCUUGUAGCUUACUCGCUUAUGUUAUUUUACCUACGCUUAGGAUGUUGACAGCAGUAUAGACUGU